rnacentral:rRNA from 1 species
UUUCACUGUUGCAGAUGAUGUGGUUGUUACAGAGGCAGAUGUCCGCUCGGGGCAUUGCAGACAAGCGUUGCCUGCUCAGGAAGCAGCGGGUGGGAUUUUGACAAUGUCCAGGGCAUGGAUGAAGCCAAGGAGGAGCUUGUUGAGUGGGAAAGAUGGCCGGGAGGAGCAAAAAACGCAAUUGGCAUGAACGGCAUGUGACUGCUCUUGACCAUGAUUCAUUCCCUGCCAUUCAAGACCAACAAAUAGAGGGCAAGUUGCUGGACUCACCUAAAAAAAUCUCAAGCUAUCCAAGGAAUACCCAAGUAAGGAACCUUCAUCAGCUACUCUCCAAGUAAUCUUCAUACCCUUCCCCCGGAGAUUAGUUGCUUACUAUCUAGCUAGAGAGAAAUCAAUUUGUGUGUGAUUACUGAUUGCACUAAACUUUCUUACAGUUUCUUUUCAGUAAUUGGCAGGAAAUCAGUUGCCCACUACCAGCGUGCACGCAUAAGUUGGUUACUGGCAGAACUGGAGUUGCUUAAAAACAGCCAACCUAGAUGUUGCUGCUUUAAAAAAAAAAUACCACAGUCGUUGUACAAAGUAAACUAAAUUAAGAAGAGAUGCAUGAGUUGCUUACCCCUUUCCCACCCUUUUUUAUUUGCUUAAAAGUGCCCCAAUAGUUGCCACGCUUUUUUCACAUCUUUUUAGUUCUAGCACGCAUAACCAAACAAGAGUUGUUUGCUCUUAAC